AUUUAGGCUUGAUGCGUUAGGGAUGGGAGCGGCAUCCUUUUUAUUUUUUCUUUAAAAAUAAAAAGAUACAGCGGACAGCCCGGCCGGAG
rnacentral:sRNA from 1 species